rnacentral:rRNA from 1 species
GAGUUUGAUCAUGGCUCAGAUUGAACGCUGGCGGCAUGCCUUACACAUGCAAGUCGAGCGGCAGCGCGGGGGCAACCCUGGCGGCGAGCGGCGAACGGGUGAGUAAUACAUCGGAACGUGUCCUGUCGUGGGGGAUAACCAGUCGAAAGAUUGGCUAAUACCGCAUGACCUCGUAAGAGAAAAGCGGGGGACCGUAAGGCCUCGCGCGACUGGAGCGGCCGAUGUCGGAUUAGCUAGUUGGCGGGGUAAAAGCCCACCAAGGCGACGAUCCGUAGCUGGUUUGAGAGAACGACCAGCCACACUGGGACUGAGACACGGCCCAGACUCCUACGGGAGGCAGCAGUGGGGAAUUUUGGACAAUGGGGGCAACCCUGAUCCAGCCAUGCCGCAUGUGUGAAGAAGGCC